CACAUAAUUGUUUGGCCUAUCCAAUACCAAAUAAGCGAUUGGCUUUUUUUUUUCUUUACAAAAUUGACUAAAUUGCUCAAUUGUUUUGUCUUUGUGUAGACAUAGCCUGGAUUUCUAUUGAUGAAAUUAUAUUUCAUGCUUGGGCUCUGAAACAGCUGUAGUUCAGCAAUUUGAAACAACUUAAUGAGGUAUUGAUUGUGUCUGUUCAGCAUGCUCUGAAACAACCACCAAAUUUGUGGAAGGCAGCAUCACAAGAGAGGAGGAGAGAGAAAGGACUUCAGGAUCCUUCUGUUCUCUGCGGCCAGUUGGAGAGUAACUGAGGUCACGGCAUUAGGUGAUUUCAUGGAGGAAGAAGAAGCACAUUUCAUCAGGCCUAGCACCAACUAAGUCCCUGAUGCCCACUCCUUGCCCAGCCUUAGGAAGGGAAAGAAACCAACUUUACACCCGUGGGUCAGAACAAAUAUCAUGCACACUCAGGGAAUAAGGAUAGUACCUCACAAGUUGUUCUAAGACCCAAGACGACAGUUCAAGAGGAGGUAGAGCCAUAAAACUGAAGCUAUAAAUGAGCCAUGGGCAAGGCUUCUGGUUCACGCUUCGCCUUGGGAGAGUUCCUGUGGAGGUUGUUUCAGGGGAUUGUGGGCUGCUGUACCCACAGUUACCCUGCACCUGGGCCAGUCCUAACUCUUAAGACAACGGCAGCACAGGAUGUUUGGCAAAAGGUAUCUAGCUAGAUAAUGGUCCUGCUUCAUGACCUGGAUGUGUUAGUAGAAAAAUGUCUUCUCAAUUUGUAACAUGCCUCCCAGUUUGAGGUUUUCUUCUUUCAUUAUGAUUAGAUUUGGAUUAUUUAUUUUUGGCAAGAAACUCAUGAUGCUGUGUUGGAUUACUUUAGAAUGUUGUAAUAACUUGUUUAGUGCUCUACCAUUGACACUCUGACUCCUACAUUGUUCCCAUCUCCCUCCCAAAUUGUAAAUGUCUUUAAAAAUAAGUAUAUGUUAAGAGACAGUCUACAGCAUUAUUUUAUAUCUUUGUUUAUACAAGUCACUAUACAUAUACAUUGUUUGCAAUGUGG